rnacentral:rRNA from 1 species
GGCUAUACAUGCAGUCGAGCGAACCACUUCGGUGGGAAGCGGCGAACGGGUGAGUAACACGUAGGUGAUCUGCCCACCAUACGGGGACAACGAUUGGAAACGAUCGCUAAUACCGGAUAGGACGAAAGUUUAAAGAUGCUCCUGGCAUCACUGAUGGAUGAGCCUGCGGCGCAUUAGCUAGUUGGUGGGGUAAAGGCCUACCAAGGCGUCGAUGCGUAGCCGACCUGAGAGGGUGAACGGCCACACUGGGACUGAGACACGGCCCAGACUCCUACGGGAGGCAGCAGUAGGGAAUCUUCGGCAAUGGGCGAAAGCCUGACCGAGCAACGCCGCGUGAAUGAAGAAGGCCUUCGGGUUGUAAAAUUCUGUUAUAAGGGAAGAAAGGUGAUAGGAGGAAAUGACUAUCAAUUGACGGUACCUUAUGAGAAAGCCACGGCUAACUACGUGCCAGCAGCCGCGGUAAUACGUAGGUGGCAAGCGUUAUCCGGAAUUAUUGGGCGUAAAGAGCGCGCAGGUGGUUAAUUAAGUCUGAUGUGAAAGCCCACGGCUUAACCGUGGAGGGUCAUUGGAAACUGGUUGACUUGAGUGCAGAAGAGGGAAGUGGAAUUCCAUGUGUAGCGGUGAAAUGCGUAGAGAUAUGGAGGAACACCAGUGGCGAAGGCGGCUUCCUGGUCUGCAACUGACACUGAGGCGCGAAAGCGUGGGGAGCGAACAGGAUUAGAUACCCUGGUAGUCCACGCCGUAAACGAU